UAGUGAGUUUGAUCCUGGCUCAGGAUGAACGCUAGCGGCAGGCCUAAUACAUGCAAGUCGAACGGUUCGCAAGGACAGUGGCAAACGGGUGCGUAACGCGUAAGCAACCUGGCCUCAUACUGGGGGAUAGCCCGGCGAAAGCCGGGUAAACCCGCAUAGUCCCUUUUUGUUCCAUGACAGGCCGGGUAAACAUUUAUGGGUAUGGGAGGGGCUUGCGUCUGAUUAGUUAGUUGGCGGGGUAACGGCCCACCAAGACAGUGAUC
rnacentral:rRNA from 1 species